rnacentral:rRNA from 1 species
CACACAGUAAACGAUGAAUACUCGCUGUUUGCGAUAUACAGUAAGCGGCCAAGCGAAAGCAUUAAGUAUUCCACCUGGGGAGUACGCCGGCAACGGUGAAACUCAAAGGAAUUGACGGGGGCCCGCACAAGCGGAGGAACAUGUGGUUUAAUUCGAUGAUACGCGAGGAACCUUACCCGGGCUCAAACGGAAGAGGAGCGUGCGUGAAAGCGUGCGGUCCGCAAGGACCUCUUCCGAGGUGC